AGCGAACGCUGGCGGCAGGCCUAACACAUGCAAGUCGAACGAACUCUUCGGAGUUAGUGGCGGACGGGUGAGUAACACGUGGGAACGUGCCUUUAGGUUCGGAAUAACUCAGGGAAACUUGUGCUAAUACCGAAUGUGCCCUUCGGGGGAAAGAUUUAUCGCCUUUAGAGCGGCCCGCGUCUGAUUAGCUAGUUGGUGAGGUAAAGGCUCACCAAGGCGACGAUCAGUAGCUGGUCUGAGAGGAUGAUCAGCCACAUUGGGACUGAGACACGGCCCAAACCCCUGCGGGAGGCAGCAGGGGGAAAUCUGGCGAAAUGGGCGAAAGCCUGACCCAGCCAUGCCGCGUGAAUGAUGAAGUUCUUAGGAUUGUAAAAUUCUUUCACGGGGGACGAUAAUGACGGUACCCGGAGAAAAAGCCCCGGCUAACUUCGUGCCAGCCCCCGCGGUAA
rnacentral:rRNA from 1 species